UAUGGGGAGCUGGGUGAUCCCGGCUGAGAAGGGGUAAGCGAGCCUCUAAACCCAGGAACCUGAUCCGGGUAAUGCCGGCGUAGGAAACAGAG
rnacentral:ncRNA from 1 species